rnacentral:rRNA from 1 species
UGACGUCAAGUCAUCAUGGCCCUUACGACCAGGGCUACACACGGGCUACAAUGGCCGCAUACAAAGAGAAGCGACCUCGCGAGAGCAAGCGGACCUCAUAAAGUGCGUCGUAGUCCGGAUUGGAGUCUGCAACUCGACUCCAUGAAGUCGGAAUCGCUAGUAAUCGUGGAUCAGAAUGCCACGGUGAAUACGUUCCCGGGCCUUGUACACACCGCCCGUCACA